rnacentral:RNase_P_RNA from 16 species
CCAGAAGGUCGGGCGGCCGCCGGUAUGUUUUUGACAUACGGGAGGAAAGUCCGGGCUCCAAGGAGUAACGGUGCCGGAUAACAUCCGGCGAGGGUGACCUCAGGGAAAGUGCCACAGAAAACAAACCGCUUUUUACUUCGGUAAUAAAGUAAGGAUGAAAAGGUGCGGUAAGAGCGCACCGCAUUUCCGGUAACGGCAAUGGCAAGGUAAACCCCACCGGGAGCAAAACCGAAUAGGGAUGGCAUAUGGGCUGGCUCCGCCCCGUCAUCCGGGUUGGUUGCUGAAGACCGGAAGCAAUUCCGGUUUUAGAUGAAUGGUCGCCUAUCCAGCUUUGCUGGUGGACAGAACCCGGCUUAUAGACCUUCUGGCGUA